GUGGUUUGCCAAGUUUGAACAAGGAGAAAUGAGCACCGAGGACGAAUCACGCAGUGGACGCCCGAAAGCGGCUGUUACGGACGAAAACAGCUAAAUGAAGUUGAUCGCGAUAACUGGGGAUCUAAAGCAAUCAAAGCUAACGUGUUGGACAUAUCCUGCAUGAAUAUUUGGGUAUGCAAAAGCACUGUGCAAAGUGCUUUCGCAUACCCAAAGCACUUUGAACAGUGCUUUCACAUACCCAAUCGACCAAAAUCAACAACGAAUGCAACACAAUACAAUAGCUUUCUCAAGCGGUUUCAUACUGACUGAAUUCUAUUCAAUUUUGCUUCGCCCAAUAAUAAAUUGAAUCGCACGACCUUCCACCUACAUAAUGAGUAUUAAUUUUACUAUUACUAUUGAAAAUGAAAAACCACUGAAAAAAAUUUUACUGAAUCAUCAAAUGGACAUGUAAUGAACUCAUUAUGAUUUGUACUUUAUAUAAUAACAAUUUGAGUCACAUGACCUGAAAGAAAAUUAUUACCAAUUCGUUAAAUUUCCAUGAGAUAAAUGAAUUACCAAUUUCCACAUUAGAAUACAGAUUAAGAAGAGGAGACAAAUUCAUUUAUAUUUGGUCAUGCAGUGAAAAUUCAGAAUUCUCAAAUUUAAUAAUUUACAAACUGGUACAGGGAACAAGAAAGUUGGAAGGGAAAACGUAAUAAGAUCAUGAGAGUGCAAUGUUUUCUGUCGACUUGAAACAAAUGGAUGAGUCGGACAGCUCCCGAAUAGCAAAAAUAUCUGCUGGAGACAAAGUUUUAAUGGAAUGGACUUCGAAGAUGAAUACAACCAACAUUGAUUUAAUCGCCCUCAUACCAAUAAUUUUUCUGAAGUAGCAUGUAAUGUCGAAACACAUUCUGAAAAUUAUUUGAAAUUAAAAUUUCAGAUUUUCAACAGAUAAUGUUAAAUAUGUUUCAUUUGUAACACGUUCAAAGUGAUACACGUAAUACAGUGUAUUAAGACAAAUAUAGUUUUUGUAUUUCUUAAAGUGACAAUUAAGACAAAAACAAAGUUUCCAUGGGCUGAAAGGUAGAACUGAAACUUCUAGCAUAAAAUGUAUUCUCGCCACGCUUUUCACCAAACGAGUCGGAGUCAUCAGGAUAUGAAUUAUACUGGUACAGUAAAUGUAGUGGAGUAUAGUUUGUAUUGGAAUUUGUUUAAACACAUGUCAUUUUGUGGAAUGAAACUGCUGAAGUAUUAUCUGCACAUAUAUAGUCAAGGUUAUAUAUUGCAAUGCUUUCUCCAAAUAUCAGCUGUUGCCGAUUCGACACUGUUGCUUACGUUUGACAAAGCCCUUCAUCAGAGCCCUGAACUGUUUUUCAUAAUCAUUUCAAUUUUGCCAGCAGAAAACAUUCACAAAUUACACAUGCGCGUAGAUUUGCUGCAACCUUUCUAUUUUACUCAAUAGGAUAGUGCGAUACUCCAUGAAAUCCUUAUUUUGAUAGCGGGGUGGAGUCGAUUCUCAAACAGAAAUUCUGUCGAGAUUGGCAUAUGGAAUCAUAGUCUGGGGACAAUCACCGCUGCCAAACGUCUCUUCAUUAGACAGAAAAAGUGCAUUCGUGCCAUGUUUCGCAAACCUCAAACAUAAUCUAGAAAACAUCUCUUUAGAAAGCCACAAGUAUUACUGCUUAUUUCUCAUUACAUAUUGGAAACUGCUUGUUACAUUUACAAACGUAGAAAUACUUUGCUCUGUUGUAAAGACAUUCACGGUCGUUUCACCAGAAAUCAGCAUUUGCUGUAUACUCCUCUGAAUAGAUUGAACCUAGCUCAAAACGGUCCUCUAAGCAUCGGAAUUCCAAUUUUUAAUAAAAUUUCUCAAAAUAUCACUAAUGAAGCUACCUAUUUGAUUCAAGAAGUCACUGAAAAAAGUUAGUAAUUGAAGGUGCAAUCUAUACUUUGGAAGAAUUUUUUUAGUAUAUAAAUCACUGAUAUUGUAUUCUGUCGUACUCUGGGUAAUUGUAUAUUUUACGUUAAUAUUUAUAUUGUAGUGUACUCUCUCUGUACUUGUACUUAUCAUUUUAACUUUUUAUUCAGUAAUUUUGCUCUUUGUCUCUAUACUACAAAUUUUUGACAAGUCGUAUUGGUUUUCAGAUGAAUAAAUUUGAUUGACUGAUUGAAAACGAUCCAAUCAUUUCAUGAGAAUAUUACUUUACAAAACUACAACACAUAUUCACUGGAUAUGUGUUUCGUCAGGUGAUUUUAGAUUGAAAAUACUAUACAUUUUUCAACGGUAGUACCAGAGUUACAUAUUUUCGUUUAAAUAUCAUAUAUCAAUGAUGGAAAAAAAAGGUUUUGACUUUCUACUUCUACAUCUUUAUACAAAAAAAUGUGGGAAUCUUUCAAA